UACGUAGGGCGCGAGCGUUGUCCGGAAUUAUUGGGCGUAAAGAGCUCGUAGGCGGCUUGUUGCGUCGACUGUGAAAACCCGCGGCUCAACCGCGUGGCUUGCAGUCGAUACGGGCAGGCUAGAAUUCGGUAGGGGAGACUGGAAUUCCUGGUGUAGCGGUGAAAUGCGCAGAUAUCAGGAGGAACACCGGUGGCGAAGGCGGGUCUCUGGGCCGAUAUUGACGCUGAGGAGCGAAAGCGUGGGGAGCGAACAGG
rnacentral:rRNA from 1 species